CAGCCGCCACGGUAAUAUGGAGGGGGCUAGCGUUGUUCGGAAUUACUGGGCGUAAAGCGCACGUAGGCGGCUUGGUAAGUUAGAGGUGAAAGCCUGGAGCUCAACUCCAGAAUUGCCUUUAAGACUGCCGAGCUAGCAGGUGAGAGAGGUAAGUGGAAUUCCGAGUGUAGAGGUGAAAUUCGUAGAUAUUCGGAAGAACACCAAUGGCGAAGGCGGCUUACUGGCUCAUACUGGACGCUGAGGUGCGAAAGCGUGGGGAGCAAACAGGAUUAGAGACCCGCGUAGUCCCUGUCUCUUAUAC
rnacentral:rRNA from 1 species